UACAGCCACAUCACCAUAAAAGCCUGGUUCUCGUAUGAUCAGCGAAGUUAAGCAACAUCGAUCUUGGUCAAUACCUAGAUGGGUGAUCGCUUGGGAAUACAAGGUGCUGUAA